rnacentral:rRNA from 1 species
AAUAGCCUAACGGCUGAACCAGCAACUUGGAGGAAUGAAUAGCAAUAGCUAAUUGCACAUAUGUAUGGUGCAAUAUCGACUCUGUCGAAUAAAAUUCUGACUAGAAUUAUGAUAAUGACAUUGUCUAGUCAUAUGUCUUGACCAAAUUACGUGCCAGCAGUCGCGGUAAUACGUAGAAGACUAGUGUUAUUCAUCUUUAAUAGGUUUAAAGGGUACCCAGACGGUAAAUCAAGCCUUAAAUGGAACUAAUUUGCUAGAGUUACUUUCGCGGGGGUUUUAAAGUACUAAUGGUGUAGAGAUAAAAUUUUGUAAUACCAUUUUUCGAAAGAAAAGUUAUGGCACUGGUAAAGGCGAAAACAUCCCCUUAUGUGAUAACUGACGUUGAAGGACGAAGGCUUUGGAUCGCAAAUAGGAUUAGGUACCCUAGUAGUCUAAGCAGAAAAUUAUGAGUGUCAUAGAUUAGAAACUAAUUUUAUUCUAUAAAUGAAAGUGUAAGCACUCCACCUCAAGAGUAAUUUGGCAACAUUGAAACUGAAAUCAUUAGACCGUUUCUGAA